rnacentral:rRNA from 1 species
UACGGGAGGGGGCUAGCGUUGUUCGGAAUUACUGGGCGUAAAGCGCACGUAGGCGGCUUUGUAAGUUAGAGGUGAAAAGCCCAGGGCUCAACCCUGGAAUUGCCUUUAAGACUGCAUCGCUUGAACAUCGGAGAGGUAAGUGGAAUUCCGAGUGUAGAGGUGAAAUUCGUGAGAUAUUCGGAAGAACACCAGUGGGCGAAGGCGACUGCACUGGACA